GGCUGGUCCAAUGGUAGUGGGUCACCAGAGCUUAUUAACAUUAGUAUCACUAAAGCUGGUAUUCAACCCCGCCACCCACUGCUAAAUUUGACUGGCUUAUA
ensembl:misc_RNA Y_RNA Y RNA